CCGUUCCUCUGGGGCAGCCCGGAGGCCACCAUGUAGGCAUCCCCAAUUGUCUCCACCUGAGGCCAGAAUUCAGUACUGAGCCUCCCCCACCAAUGCCACUGUCCCUGGUCAGGAGGCCUAAACUGGGCUCCAGCUCCUCUGUGCGCUCCCGGAUCAGGUCCUCCAGAUUACUGGAGUACUGUUCCAGCAUCCGCAGCAUUGAGUCGAUGAUGUUCAUCUUCCGGCCCUUGUUGAUGCUCUUGAACUAGUAGGAGGAGGAAGCUGGUGGGGCUGCUGGGGACCUGGGCUGCCAUGCCCCUCUCAUGCGGCCAUAUUAUGCCUGAUCCUCUGUCCACACCCCCUUUCAUCUCAUCCUCGUCAAGCCCACACCUCACCCUGUGCUGGGCACUGUGUUUUCACACAUUAUUUGCAGGUCAGCUGUUCUGUUAGUAACUGACAAGGGACUGAAACCAGCCCAGUCUUUGGACUCCCAAGCCAAGGGUCUCUUCCCCACACCAGGCCAAAUACAUACUCAAUAAAUGUUAUUUUAAUUGAAUUAAA